rnacentral:rRNA from 1 species
UACGUAGGGUGCAAGCGUUGUCCGGAAUUAUUGGGCGUAAAGAGCUCGUAGGCGGCCUGUCGCGUCGGCUGUGAAAACCCGGGACUCAACCCCGGGCCUGCAGUCGAUACGGGCAGGCUAGAGUCCGGCAGGGGAGACUGGAAUUCCUGGUGUAGCGGUGAAAUGCGCAGAUAUCAGGAGGAACACCGGUGGCGAAGGCGGGUCUCUGGGCCGAUACUGACGCUGAGGAGCGAAAGCGUGGGGAGCGAACAGG